rnacentral:rRNA from 1 species
UACGUAGGGUACGAGCGUUGUCCGGAAUUAUUGGGCGUAAAGGGCUCGUAGGCGGUUUGUCGCGUCGGGAGUGAAAACUCAGGGCUUAACCCUGAGCCUGCUUCCGAUACGGGCAGACUAGAGGUAUGCAGGGGAGAACGGAAUUCCUGGUGUAGCGGUGAAAUGCGCAGAUAUCAGGAGGAACACCGGUGGCGAAGGCGGUUCUCUGGGCAUUACCUGACGCUGAGGAGCGAAAGUGUGGGGAGCAAACAGG